rnacentral:tRNA from 1 species
GCUGGAAUUGUGGCUCAGAGGUAGAAUACUUGCCUGGCAUGUGUGAUGCCCUGGGUUCAAUCCUCAGCCCAGCA